UUUGUGCCGUGCGUUAGGCUAUAAAAGCCCAAACCGCGCGCCCUCUGCAUCAGUCCGUACGCCACCGACGCACCAACUAGAGGCACAUCCCAGAGGAGACGCCUCGCGGUCGCUGACGGGUUUGCCCGUCAGGCGGCCGCCCCGCUAGCUUGCAAUGCUGUGCUGCGGAGAUGAUGCAGCUGGCAGUUGCGCCUACGCCGCGCGCCGGUCGCGCCUCGCGAGCAGCCACGCCUUGCGGUCGCAAGGCAGCAGCGCCUCGUGUCACCGCGAAAACCAACCACGCGGGCGUGCACAGAGUUGAAGAGUUGAUGAUUUGGAAGAGUUCUCCGUCCGCCAUUUGCUGCGCUGAGCCGCACGUCCACGCGCCUCGGUAAACGCUAGGUGCAAUAUUUUUUGUUUAUUUUUUCAAGAAGUAAUAUGUUUUUAGUUUUUUUUCAUUCAGAUUCGGAACUAGGUGCUGUUUUUUUUGUUUAUUUGUUUUCAAGGAGAAAUGUUUUUAGUUUUUUUCAUUCGAGUCUGGCACUUACUGACAUAACACAUAACCAUACAUAAUAUCUUUAAUUUCUUUAUUAUAUCAGUAACAAUUCCUCUCUGUAAAAUGCCGUAUUCCGUGCUCCACACGGCAUUUUAUAGACCAUGACAUACUCGUAUGAGGCUACGAGAGACAAAGUGCUAAGCCACCACUUUGGCUUUCGUGCCCCCAUGUGAGAUAAGCAAUUUGUGUAGUAACAUUAUGAGACACUGAGAAAUCUAAAGUAGGUAUAAAUGGCGUCUGACAUCAGAAUAUUAUCAGUCAUCUCGUAGGUUUAAGACAAAUCAUAUUGCAGCAGCGACGAUGUACAUUUUGUAAAACGUGUUUCCAUUCCAUUAGACUGUAAGUUUUCUGAAUAAAACUGUUAGCUAUAAGUAAUUUGUAUGAGUAACAUUAUGGGUAGUAGCUUUAAAAUACAACGUAGGUAUAAA